CGUUAUUCGGAAUCACUGGGCUUAAAGGGCGCGUAGGCGGGCGGCCAAGUCAGGGGUGAAAGCCCCCAGCUCAACUGGGGAAGUGCCUCUGAUACUGGUCAUCUCGAGGGAGAUAGGGGCGUGCGGAACUUCCGGUGGAGCGGUGAAAUGCGUAGAUAUCGGAAGGAACACCGGUGGCGAAAGCGGCGCGCUGGAUCUCUUCUGACGCUGAGGCGCGAAAGCCAGGGGAGCGAACGGG
rnacentral:rRNA from 1 species